ACGGGGGAGGGUCAUUGGAAAAGGGGAAAANUGGGGGGCAGAAGAGGAGAGNGAAUUCCCNCGNGNNGCGGAAAAANGNGNAGAGANGGGGAGGAACACCAGGGGNGAAGGCGUCUCUUUGGUCUGUAACUGCCGCGGAGGAGAGAAAGNGGGGGGAGNGAACAGGAUUAGACACCCUGGUAGUCCACGCCGUAAACGAUGAGUGNUAAGUGUUGGGGGGUUUCCGCCCCUUAGUGCUGCAGCUAACGCAUUAAGCACUCCGCCUGGGGAGUACGGUCGCAAGACUGAAACUCAAAGGAAUUGACGGGGGCCCGCACAAGCGGUGGAGCAUGUGGUUUAAUUNGAAGCAACGCGAAGACCCUUACCAGGUCUUGACAUCCUCUGACAACCCUAGAGAUAGGGCUUUCCCUUGGGGGACAGAGUGACAGGUGGUGCAUGGUUGUCGUCAGCUCGUGUCGUGAGAUGUUGGGUUAAGUCCCGCAACGAGCGCAACCCUUGAUCUUAGUUGCCAGCAUUCAGUUGGGCACUCUAAGGUGUUUGCCGGUGACAAACCGGAGGAAGGUGGGGAUGACGUCAAAUCAUCAUGCCCCUUAUGACCUGGGCUACACACGUGCUACAAUGGACAGAACAAAGGGCUGCA
rnacentral:rRNA from 1 species